AGCAGCCGCGGUAAUUCCAGCUCCAAUAGCGUAUAUUAAAGUUGUUGCAGUUAAAAAGCUCGUAGUUGAAUUUCGGGACCAAUUUGUUGGUCGUGCCUCGGUACGUACUGGUAUUAUUGGUUUCUCCCUUCUGGAGAACCUCGAUGUCAUUAAUUUGGUGUCGUGGGGAAUCAGGACUGUUACUUUGAAAAAUUAGAGUGUUUAAAGCAGGCAUACGCUUGAAUACAUUAGCAUGGAAUAAUGAAAUAGGACGUUUGAUUCUAUUUUGUUGGUUUCUAGGAUCGACGUAAUGAUUAAUAGGGAUAGUUGGGGGCAUUAGUAUUCAAUUGUCAGAGGUGAAAUUCUUGGAUUUAUUGAAGACUAACUACUGCGAAAGCAUUUGCCAAGGAUGUUUUCAUUAAUCAAGAACGAAAGUUAGGGGAUCGAAGACGAUCAGAUACCGUCGUAGUC
rnacentral:rRNA from 1 species